UAAAAAAGCAAACAAGAUAUGACAUUCCCUGAAUUCAGGGAUGUUUUCUGAUAUGUUCUCAUCUCUAUUUCUAGCUCGUAGCUUCGAAAUGUCUCUGACUGCAUCUCGGCUGCUUCCCUUCACCCCUGAUCUCCUCACACUCAUCCACCUAGAUCCUGAAACUGGAGGGACCUGCACUACUUCGUAGUCUGUUUGUUCUGCUUAUCCGGGUGAAGAUGGAACUGGACAAAAGAAUACCUAGGGGUGGACCACUUGGUGCCACACUUCUUCUUCUGUGUCUCCAUCAUAUAGCAAUGGCUGUGACUCAUCCCGAUGAUUGGGAUCAAUUACGCCUGCAACAGUGCCCUUUUUUGUUUCUUCAUCCACUGGUCUACAGACUUGCAGAGCCCAGGAUGAACUAAUAGCAACCAUGGCUUUACAUUUAGUGAGAAUUAGGUGGAACACAGGCCUUCAAGAAGAGUCUUCCCACAAAGAAGAAGAACAUCUAGACACACAGAGCCUAAAUAUUCAUGCAGAACUUCACCAGCACAAACACCCUGCUGGAAUUGGUGGCAAAGACUAUUCUGCACAGUUUUUGUCUUGAGAAAAUUGAGGUUGCAUAGAAUAUGGCAAACUGGACAAGUGCUUCACUGAUUGUUGCAAAAAAGAUAUGUUAACUAUUCUGCAAGUAUAUACUUUAUAUAUAUGAUUUCAGUAUGAUCAGUUACUCAAAUUCUCAUUAUUUUUGUUUACUUGAUUUUUGAAAGAGCACUGUGUAAAAGGCCCUCCUAAUACAUAUUUCUGUCAAUUUCUCCUUUUAUGUAUGAUACAUUUUUAAAAUAUAUAUAUAAAUUGCUACAUACACUCAUGAA